rnacentral:rRNA from 1 species
UGGGGAAUAUUGGACAAUGGGCGCAAGCCUGAUCCAGCCAUGCCGCGUGAGUGAUGAAGGCCUUAGGGUUGUAAAGCUCUUUUGUCCGGGAAGAUAAUGACUGUACCGGAAGAAUAAGCCCCGGCUAACUUCGUGCCAGCAGCCGCGGUAAUACGAAGGGGGCUAGCGUUGUUCGGAAUUACUGGGCGUAAAGCGCACGUAGGCGGAUUUGUAAGUAGGGGGUGAAAUCCCAGGGCUCAACCCUGGAACUGCCUUCUAGACUGCAAGUCUGGAGAUCAGGAGAGGCGAGUGGAAUACCGAGUGUAGAGGUGAAAUUCGUAGAUAUUCGGUGGAACACCAGUGGCGAAGGCGACUCGCUGGACUGAUACUGACGCUGAGGUGCGAAAGCGUGGGGAGCAAA